rnacentral:rRNA from 1 species
CCAAACUGUUGCCUCGGCGGGAUCUCUGCCCCGGGUGCGUCGCAGCCCCGGACCAAGGCGCCCGCCGGAGGACCAACCAAAACUCUUUUUGUAUACCCCCUCGCGGGUUUUUUUAUAAUCUGAGCCUUCUCGGCGCCUCUCGUAGGCGUUUCGAAAAUGAAUCAAAACUUUCAACAACGGAUCUCUUGGUUCUGGCAUCGAUGAAGAACGCAGCGAAAUGCGAUAAGUAAUGUGAAUUGCAGAAUUCAGUGAAUCAUCGAAUCUUUGAACGCACAUUGCGCCCGCCAGUAUUCUGGCGGGCAUGCCUGUCCGAGCGUCAUUUCAACCCUCGAACCCCUCCGGGGGGUCGGCGUUGGGGAUCGGCCCUGCCUUGGCGGUGGCCGUCUCCGAAAUACAGUGGCGGUCUCGCCGCAGCCUCUCCUGCGCAGUAGUUUGCACACUCGCAUCGGGAGCGCGGCGCGUCCACAGCCGUUAAACACCCAACUUCUGAAAUGUUGACCUCGGAUCAGGUAGGAAUACCCGCUGAACUUAAGCAUAUCAAUAAGACGGAGGAAC